UACGGAGGGGGCUAGCGUUGUUCGGAAUCACUGGGCGUAAAGCGCACGCAGGCGGAUUGAUAAGUCGGGGGUGAAAUCCCGGGGCUCAACCUCGGAAUUGCCUUCGAUACUGUCUGUCUUGAGUCCGGGAGAGGUGAGUGGAAUUCCUAGUGUAGAGGUGAAAUUCGUAGAUAUUAGGAAGAACACCAGUGGCGAAGGCGGCUCACUGGCCCGGUACUGACGCUCAUGUGCGAAAGCGUGGGGAGCAAACAGG
rnacentral:rRNA from 1 species